rnacentral:rRNA from 1 species
CCCUUAGAUGUUCUGGGCCGCACGCGCGCUACACUGAUUCAUGCAACGAGUUUUGUCCUUGGCUGAAAGGCCUGGGUAAUCUUUGAACGUGAAUCGUGAUGGGGAUAGAUGAUUGCAAUUAUUCAUCUUCAACGAGGAAUUCCUAGUAAACGCAAGUCAUCAGCUUGCAUUGAUUACGUCCCUGCCCUUUGUACACACCGCCCGUCGCACCUACCGAUUGAAUGGUCCGGUGAAAUCUUCGGAUCUGAGAGAUGUCUGAUUAAUUUCGGACGCCUUUUGGAAAAGUUGCUUAAACCUUACCAUUUAGAGGAAGGUGAAGUCGUAACA